GCUGCAUGUGAUUCCCUCUGCUGCGUGAGGGACCCUGUGUGGCUUCCGGAAGGUUCCACAGCGUUUCCUGUCAGCGCUCUGAGGCAGCCAGUGUCGCGCUUAUCACCUGUGGGCGAGGGCGCUUUUGUGGCUCUCCAAAAAAAGCAAUAUCUAAAAAUGCUGGAAACGACACAGCUGGAAAGCACGUAAUACUGCUGAAGAGAUGCAAAGAGAAGAUGCAGUUCUAUUAAGCCCAUCUUACUGGCAGAGCAGCUCCAUUUCCAUCUCCAGCUGUAGAGAAGACAGUAGUGACAAGAGUCUGCCCUCAUGCCCAAAGCACGUGUGCUAAUUUUGGAUGCAGAAUGGAAAAAAGAAGAGGGAACUUUAUCCUGAUCUCUUCCUCCAAUUAACUGGGGGCACUCACCUUAUAAGGCUUUUUAAUGGUUAAGAACAUAAAAAAGGGGAAAAUAAAGGGAUCUUGAGAUGGCGAAGGGUACUCUGCGAAUGAAGACUGGCAUCACAUCAAUAAUGCAUUAUUCUAUGAGCUUGAGGGUGAAAAAACUUCUACCACAAAUCCCUUGUCUCAUACUUUUAUUCCACAUACAGAACUAAGUGUAAAACUAAGUUCUAGAUCUUAGUUUUUGAGGCUCAGGUUAGACCUUUAAGGCUAAAAUUACAGUCUUGCAUCUUAUGUGCUGACAGUUCAGUUUGAGAGUUAAUUCUUAAUUUCUAGCAUUUUUCUACUCUCAUUUGAUUUUUAGUUACCAGACACUUGGGCUUCUUUCUUUAGCCUUUAAAGACAUCAGUUGUCAGACUUUGUUCCUCAUUUACAUCCUCGCAGACUGCAAUCAUAGUUUAAAUCUUAACCUCCUCUUGUUUAAAUCCCCAAGCUCACCUGCAUGAGUGAUUAAUAAAAAAAAUAUCCUCCAAUUUUUCAUUAUUCUUAAGGCUUUUCUCAUCUCUAAUUUAUUAAUAGCCUUUCUUGAAUGUGGAUAUUAAAAUGAAACUGUAUUCCAAUACUAUUCACCCUAAAGCAAAACUAACAGAAAUUCUUUAUUCCGUGUUGAUAUUCACUUUCUUUAAGCACUUCGGGAGCAGAUUAGCUCUUUGGCAGUGUCACUGCAUUUAGGAUUCAUGAUCAGCUGAUAACUGGCGUUGACUCCAAAGUCCUAGUCGCAAUUUGUUCUCCAUGGCAGGAAACCUAAACCCUGCACGUCAAUACAGUGUUCCGAGAAUAAUAGCUUUAAAAGUGACAUAAAAAUAUGUUCACUUGGCAUGCAGGUUGUUCAGGUGCUCUGCAGCUCCAAUAUUAAUUAGAUGUGAAGAUUUCAGCACUAGAUAAUAUGAACUGAGAUGAUGGAGACCUUAAACUGUAAAAGCUGAAAUUUCCAAUGCACUAAGUCAGGAUGAUGAUACAUUGCCUCUGUGCCAGGAACUACCUAUCUGGUAUGCAUAGUUACUACUAAUGACUCAGUGUCCCUUCCAUCUCAAGCCGAUGCAGCAGCCAUACUGGUUUCCAUGCAGCACCAUAGGGGAAAUUUUACACUGAACUUCACAUCAGUGAACACCUCAGAGCCACCCUCUGCUU
ensembl:lncRNA